rnacentral:rRNA from 1 species
CUACGGGUGGCUGCAGUGGGGAAUAUUGGACAAUGGGGGAAACCCUGAUCCAGCAAUGCCGCGUGUGUGAAGAAGGUCUGCGGGUUGUAAAGCACUUUCGGUUGGGAGGACUGCUUCUAGCACUAAUAUUGUUGGAAGUUGACGUUACCUUCAGAAGAAGCACCGGGUAACUCCGUGCCAGCAGCCGCGGUAAUACGAAGGGUGCAAGCGUUAAUCGGAAUUACUGGGCGUAAAGCGCGCGUAGGCGGCUAGAUCAGUCGGGUGUGAAAGCCCCGGGCUUAACCUGGGAACUGCAUCCGAUACUGUCUAGCUUGAGUACAGGAGAGGAGAGUGGAAUUCCACAUGUAGCGGUGAAAUGCGUAGAUAUGUGGAGGAACACCAAUGGCGAAGGCAGCUCUCUGGCCUGAUACUGACGCUGAGGUGCGAAAGCGUGGGGAGCAAACAGGAUUAGAUACCCCCGUAGUC